rnacentral:rRNA from 1 species
UACGGAGGGGCCAAGCGUUAUCCGGAAUCAUUGGGUUUAAAGGGUCCGUAGGCGGUUUUGUAAGUCAGUGGUGAAAGCCCAUCGCUCAACGGUGGAACGGCCAUUGAUACUGCAAGACUUGAAUUAUUGGGAAGCAGCUAGAAUAUGUAGUGUAGCGGUGAAAUGCUUAGAUAUUACAUGGAAUACCAAUUGCGAAGGCAGGUUGCUAGCAAGAGAUUGACGCUGAUGGACGAAAGCGUGGGGAGCGAACAGG